AUGCUUGCUUCAGUAGCACAUAUUCUAAAAUUGGAAUGAUACAAAGAAGAUUAGCAUGGCCCCUGUGCAAGGAUGACACGCAAAUUCAUGAAGCAAUCCAUAUUUAA
rnacentral:snRNA from 1 species